UCUGUCUCAAAAAAAAAAAGUUAAAAUAUAUUUAUUUGUUUUCUAAAUGUACCAAGACAUUUCACUGGCUUGUGUCAGUAAGAGAAACACAUCCAAGUUCCCUUGCCAGGAAAUCCAUGGACCUCUGUGUCCUCUGAUGAGGGCUCCUACCCUCCCCUCUGUACCCACUCCCUAAUGCCAUUCCUUCCCUCUCCAGCAUCACUAAACCACUAGCAGGUCUUAGUACCCCCAUGCUGUUUGUCACUUAGUAGGUGCUUAGUUAAUAUUUGAUAAAUUGAUGAUAAACAUGAAUGGCCAAUAACCAAUGAACUGGAAUGUCCCAUGAACUUUCUGACACUGGUUUAAUUUUCCAGAAAGUGUUCUUAUUACAGAAACUAGAUAGGCUAAAUUCUCUAACAUAUGCACACUGCUCUUAAUAAUAUUUUCUAUAUUAUUAAUAAUAUAGAAAUUCCUCUUAAUAAUACUUUCUAUAUUAUUAAAUUAGCUUUUAUAGGCCAGUCUCUCCUGAGUUUAGUGAACAUGGAUUGAACCAUCUAUAUAGGAAAAUUGGUGAAACAAUGAGCCUAUGGCUUGGAACACACACUCUAGAAAAAAGCAUCCGAGUAGCACAAAACAACUUAACUCACCUCCACACACAUGACCCUAGUAGAGUUUCUGGCCCCAGACUUUGUCUCCACUCCAUCCUAGAUAGCAAUAACUUCUCCAAAAUUAUGCUUGCAUUCUUUUUCUGAAGGGCUCUUAGAUCAGAUGUUAUUAGUUAGGAUAAUGUUCAAGGCUUUUUGUCAACUCAUCCCAAUAUACUCUUUUUGAGCCAUGUCACCCAAUGAAGCACUCUGUUCCAAGUAUAUCAGUUUCUCCAAGGCAAAUCCUUUGUUUAUUUCUACCUUCAAAUCUUAGCCUAUAUUCCUUCCAUUAAAGAAGUCUCCUGAGUUUGUUUUUAAAGUGAGCUGUUUUGUUUAUGCCAAUUAAAAUUCUGUGUAUCAAAAGAGCCUAUAUAAAACCCAUCUCUUUCCCAUAAUCUUUCUUGGCAUCAGCUGUUUAUACUAUAACAUCUAAUAACUUGUCUAUAUGUGCUCUGCUUAAUUCCCACUUGCAUUCUAUUCAUACAUCUUGUCUGCUCAAACACAGGACUGUUGUUUUGAGACCUAGGUUUGGUUUUUUGCUUAUUUAUCAUUUCUCCUAAUGCCUACCACAGACCUGGCUGGACUGAGUAGGUGUUCUAAGGAUCCCAAUUAAACUGAAUCUUCAGAAUGCAUUUUCAAAUUGGGAGGCAGAGAAUGAAUGAAAUGGAUACAUAAUAUCUGCCAUGAUAGGUAUUUGUUAUCUAAAGUAAUCCUCACAAAAUACUGCCAAAUAUUUAUUAUUAACCUUACCUUUUAGAGAUGAACAAGCAGAUACUUACAAAAGCUUAGUGACUUGCCAGUGCCGCAUUGCUAGUGUGUGGCAGAGCUGGAAUUUGAAAACAGAUCUGUUUGAUGUCAAAGCUUUUCCUUUUAUCCCUCUUUUCACUCAAUAUUUUGCAAUGGUAACAAUCUUUAGGACUGAGGAGUAUAAAAUGUUACUAUGCAGAGAAGGGAUCCAAGAUGGCCAAAUAGGAACAGCUCUGGAGUGCAGUUCCCAGUGAGAAUGCAGAGGCCACUGCAGGUGAUCCCCAGGCAAGCAGGGUCUGGAGUGGACCUCUAAAAGUCCUACAGCAGAGGCACGUGACUGUUACAAGAAAACAAAAAAA